GGUCUUGUAGUGUAGUGGUUAUCACUCGGGAUUUUGAGGGUAUCCGGCCAACACCGGAUCCGAUUUGAAAUCUUCCCGAAACCCAGGUUCGAACCCUGGCAAGACCU